AGCGAGCUUGCUCCGCCGGAUCAGUGGCGAACGGGUGAGUAACACGUGAGCAACCUGCCCCGGACUCUGGGAUAAGCGCUGGAAACGGCGUCUAAUACCGGAUACGAGCUGCGAAGGCAUCUUCAGCAGCUGGAAAGAACUUCGGUCCGGGAUGGGCUCGCGGCCUAUCAGCUAGUUGGUGAGGUAACGGCUCACCAAGGCGUCGACGGGUAGCCGGCCUGAGAGGGUGACCGGCCACACUGGGACUGAGACACGGCCCAGACUCCUACGGGAGGCAGCAGUGGGGAAUAUUGCACAAUGGGCGCAAGCCUGAUGCAGCAACGCCGCGUGAGGGACGACGGCCUUCGGGUUGUAAACCUCUUUUAGCAGGGAAGAAGCCUUCGGGUGACGGUACCUGCAGAAAAAGCGCCGGCUAACUACGUGCCAGCAGCCGCGGUAAUACGUAGGGCGCAAGCGUUAUCCGGAAUUAUUGGGCGUAAAGAGCUCGUAGGCGGUCUGUCGCGUCUGCUGUGAAAACCCGAGGCUCAACCUCGGGCCUGCAGUGGGUACGGGCAGACUAGAGUGCGGUAGGGGAGAUUGGAAUUCCUGGUGUAGCGGUGGAAUGCGCAGAUAUCAGGAGGAACACCGAUGGCGAAGGCAGAUCUCUGGGCCGUAACUGACGCUGAGGAGCGAAAGGGUGGGGAGCAAACAGGCUUAGAUACCCUGGUAGUCCACCCCGUAAACGUUGGGAACUAGUUGUGGGGUCCAUUCCACGGAUUCCGUGACGCAGCUAACGCAUUAAGUUCCCCGCCUGGGGAGUACGGCCGCAAGGCUAAAACUCAAAGGAAUUGACGGGGACCCGCACAAGCGGCGGAGCAUGCGGAUUAAUUCGAUGCAACGCGAAGAACCUUACCAAGGCUUGACAUAUACGAGAACGCUGCAGAAAUGUAGAACUCUUUGGACACUCGUAAACAGGUGGUGCAUGGUUGUCGUCAGCUCGUGUCGUGAGAUGUUGGGUUAAGUCCCGCAACGAGCGCAACCCUCGUUCUAUGUUGCCAGCACGUAAUGGUGGGAACUCAUGGGAUACUGCCGGGGUCAACUCGGAGGAAGGUGGGGAUGACGUCAAAUCAUCAUGCCCCUUAUGUCUUGGGCUUCACGCAUGCUACAAUGGCCGGUACAAAGGGCUGCAAUACCGCAAGGUGGAGCGAAUCCCAAAAAGCCGGUCCCAGUUCGGAUUGAGGUCUGCAACUCGACCUCAUGAAGUCGGAGUCGCUAGUAAUCGCAGAUCAGCAACGCUGCGGUGAAUACGUUCC
rnacentral:rRNA from 1 species